UGCUUAAGAGAUAAAAACACAGUUUCUGUUGGUAGUCAGAACCUAUAUUUAAUCAUUAAAAUUUAAUAUAGCAGUAACCUGCCCUCCUGGGGUUGUCCGUUCUCUAUAAAGUUAUA
rnacentral:ncRNA from 1 species